AAAUGAAGAAAAUGUUCUUAUUUGUC
rnacentral:piRNA from 1 species